AAUUAUUAGAUUGUUUUCUUAUUAUUCGUUUUUAUACUUAUAAGUCAUUUUAAACAUUAAAUUUUUUAUGUUUGUAGUGAUUUUACAAAAAAUAUUGCAAUUACUAGUUACUAUUAAACAACAAAAUGAUGAUUUAAUGAAAGCAGUACGUAAUAAAAACCAUAUUCAACCGACUAUAUUUACACCGGAAAAUUUACCAAUAAAAUUUCCUUUAACAUCCAAUAAUGAUAUUUUAACAUUAGAAGAAUAUUUACAAAAUAAUGACAAUUUGUUAGCUUUGGUAAGUUAUAUAACAAGAAAUAUAUUGUAUAUUUUUAUAUUUUUUAUUUUAUUCUAUAAUAACAUGUGCCGCUAUUGAUUUUAUUACGGUUUGUGGUAAUUAAUAGAUUUAUUUUAUUCUUAAAUGAUUUAAGUAUAAAAUUUUUAAAUUUUAAAACAUUUUAAAUAAAUAAAUAGACAUAUAAAUAAAUUAAAUAUAACAUUUAUUUAUAUAUAAAUUACAUGUAAAUAAUAUGGAUAUUAAGAAUGAUAUAGAUAUUACAAGUGUAGAUUAAAUAGAAUCUAAUGUUAUUUUAUUUUAAACUAUAUACUUUGUUUAUGCUUUACUGAACUUAAUAUUUUUAAUUUUUUUAGAGUUCCUAUUUAUCAUCUAUGGGAGGUACUGAUGUCAUUUCUCGAACAAAUCGAAUAUUGAGAACUAUCUUUACUGAUAACUUAGCAUCCCAAUAUAAUUUUAUCGGCACUAAACAAAAAUCUGCGUUUAGCAAAUUACAGUUAUGUAAAUGUAUUAAACGAGCUAUAAAACUGUGUGAAUCACAAUCUACAGAAAAACAAGUUGAAGAUGCUAUAAAAAUAUGGUUAAAACAUGCUCUACAACGGAUGGAAAAAAAAAAUAACAGGAAUAUUGCUUAAGUCAUCUCAACAGAAGUUUUAUUUAUUUAUAAUAUACGUAAUAUUUAAAUAUUUUUAAGAUGAUAAAAAGGAAGGAGCAGGUAGGUAAACGUCAAUUCUAUCGACGUGUCAGUCAUGAAGUUCAAAGUAUACUCAACGAAAUAAAUUUGACUUGUACUAAUGCACAGCAAGCACAAAGUGUUUUAAAUAUUAAAAAGGACAAUUCACACGUUAAUAAUUUUAAUAUUAAUUCUCAAGAAGUGAAAGAUACAUAUGUAAACAAAUUUACUUUACAUGAAAGUAAUGAUAAUAUAUCUUUUCCAUAUUUAAUUAAUAUACUUGACGAUGAUUAUAUAGAUAAUAAUAUACUCAAUAUAUCCAAAGAAUGUUCUGAUUUUCAAUGUGCAAUAAAUAAUUUUGAGUUAGAAAGCAC